rnacentral:rRNA from 1 species
GACGAACGCUGGCGGCGUGCCUAAUACAUGCAAGUUGAGCGCUGAAGGUUGGUACUUGUACCAACUGGAUGAGCAGCGAACGGGUGAGUAACGCGUGGGGAAUCUGCCUUUGAGCGGGGGACAACAUUUGGAAACGAAUGCUAAUACCGCAUAAAAACUUUAAACACAAGUUUUAAGUUUGAAAGAUGCAAUUGCAUCACUCAAAGAUGAUCCCGCGUUGUAUUAGCUAGUUGGUGAGGUAAAGGCUCACCAAGGCGAUGAUACAUAGCCGACCUGAGAGGGUGAUCGGCCACAUUGGGACUGAGACACGGCCCAAACGCCUACGGGAGGCAGCAGUAGGGAAUCUUCGGCAAUGGACGAAAGUCUGACCGAGCAACGCCGCGUGAGUGAAGAAGGUUUUCGGAUCGUAAAACUCUGUUGGUAGAGAAGAACGUUGGUGAGAGUGGAAAGCUCAUCAAGCGACGGUAACUACCCAGAAAGGGACGGCUAACUACGUG